AAAAACCUUGUUUGCGACUUGAACCAAGACAGAAGGUGCUUUGGAGGAACAUGUCAGUGAUAUUUUACCUGAGCUACAUUUCUCAAAGUGAACCCUCAUACAAAGACCCUACUGAGUACUACGCAGAGGUGCCUGGCAGUACAGCUACAAGGCCAACCUCAGCAUAGAUGAGUCCAGAAUCCACGCCCCUUAGUACUGGAGUACUUGAGCUGCAUCUUUGAAAGUGAGCACUCGUGCAGUAGUCUAACACAUAGUGCAAUGCAGUAUUUCCAUGUCGCAGGUACUGUAUCCUGCAUAUGAACUGCAAAUAUUUUUCCAAAACUACAAUGCUGACACUUGAGAAACAUGCUGUAAGGUCAGACGGUCCUCCUACCCCCAAUUUCCUGUCCUAAUCCCAAAACUUUGUUUGGUCUAUAUUCCGUCAUUGGCCCUUGUAUUGCUGUAAAGUACUGGAGUACUUGAGCUACAUUUCUGGAAGUGAACACUUGUGCAGAGACACUACUAUGCAGAGGCUUGGAAGAAGUUGCACGGUCAAACCAAACAUAGGUGAUUACAGAAUUCACCCCAGCAUAGAAUAGUUAGAUUCCACUCCACCAUAGAUGAGUAUAGGGUCAACCACACCAUAGGUGAGUUAGAAUCCACCCCAGAAUUGGUGAGUUACUGUAGUGUCCAGCACACCACAGGUGAGUUACAGUCCAGCCCAGCAUUAACAUUACAUAGUGUGGAUGAGCAUGUCUUGUAGCUUGAGUAUGUAGCUUAGGUUCUUUGAUAGGGCAAUCAUUUUGUUGGCAGAAUGCGUUCUGUGAAGUAGGGCCUUUACGGAUCUCACGGCAUGCAUUAUUAUGCCAUGAGCUAGUUUGUUGAUUGGCUGGUUACAGUACAUACUGUACUACAAAGGAGAACGGUGGAGAAAGGCGGGACAUAGGUCAUACUUCAUGUUUUUUAGCCAAAGACCAAACAAUACACACCUCCCGCAGUACACCCUGAUUAUCUCCACAUAAUGUUAUAUAAUCAGUAACCAUGGUAUUAAGCUGGUUACUGAUUAUAUAACAGGUGCUGCUGGCCAGUGGAUCUAAAUUUUUUUGUCAUGAUAACCUGUUUUUUUGUAAAUAACACUAUAGAUUAUGGCUUAUUCCAAGGAAGGCACACACUGAUCAAUACAUACUUAUCUUAAGGGACACAAAGAUAGGAAGGACUCCAUCCACUAAUAUUGGACAUACAGUAUGGUGUCAUUGUCUUGUGUAUCCAUCCAAUGCAAAGCUAGAUUAAUUAGCAAUACUUGCAAUCAUUUCUUAUGCCAUGUGAAAUGAUUUGGUUAAAGUUGAAAACCACACUCGUCUUUUAUUUUUUUGGAGUUGAGCACGCCUGUUCCUGUGUAUCUUUUUGUUUUUUUGGUACCUUUGCUCAUGCUACCAUGUGUUAGUUUUGUGUAGUGCUGAAUGUAUUAGUGAAGCUGAACACCUUUGCUGUGUUUUAUCUGUAUGGAAGAAUCCCCUGGUUAAAGAAAUCACACCUUUUAAUUGACCUUGAUACAUAAAUAUAUGUUGUGCUGAAAUAAAGCAAUUUCACUGC